UCCUCCUUAGCUCAGUUGGUAGAGCGCGACACUAGUAUUCAUCGGCCGUUCAUCCGUCCGGGCUAUGUCGAGGUCAGUCGUUCGAGUCGGCUAGGAGGAA